rnacentral:lncRNA from 1 species
UGGGAUGUCGUUAAAAGAGGUUGGGAUGCUCAAGUUCUUGGUGAGGCUCCACACAAGUUCAAGGAUCCUGUUGAAGCAGUUAAAAAGUUGAGGCAGGAACCCAACGCCAAUGAUCAGUACUUAGCCCCUUUUGUUAUUGUUGACGAUAAUGGAAAGCCCGUUGGGCCUAUUUUGGAUGGUGAUGCUGUUGUGACUUUCAACUUCAGAGCUGAUCGUAUGGUCAUGCUCGCAAAGGCCCUUGAAUACGAG